rnacentral:rRNA from 1 species
GAUUUCUGGCUUUGUGUAUGCGGCCCGCCACGGUUACGUGUGUGAGUGCCGCGGUGCGCAGGCCAUCCUUCUAGUGAACUAGUCUCUCUUCAUUGACGAGACUAGGGGACUAGAUCGUUUACUUUGAAAAAAUUAGAGUGUUUAAAGCAGGCUUUUGCUAUGAAUACAUUAGCAUGGAAUAAUAAUUUAGGACUUCGGUUCUAUUUUGUUGGUUUUGCGUACUGAAGUAAUGAUUGAUAGGGAUAGUUGGGGGUGCUAGUAUUCAGUGGCCAGAGGUGAAAUUCUCGGAUUCACUGAAGACUAACUUAUGCGAAAGCAUU